rnacentral:rRNA from 1 species
AACGAACGCUGGCGGCAGGCCUAACACAUGCAAGUCGAGCGAGGACUUCGGUCCUAGCGGCGGACGGGUGAGUAACGCGUGGGAACGUGCCCUUUGCUUCGGAAUAGCCCUGGGAAACUGGGAGUAAUACCGGAUGAGCCCUUUGGGGGAAAGAUUUAUCGGCGAAGGAUCGGCCCGCGUUGGAUUAGGUAGUUGGUGGGGUAAUGGCCUACCAAGCCGACGAUCCAUAGCUGGUUUGAGAGGAUGAUCAGCCACACUGGGACUGAGACACGGCCCAGACUCCUACGGGAGGCAGCAGUGGGGGAUGUUAGACAAUGGGGGAAACCCUGAUCUAGCCAUGCCGCGUGAGCGAUGAAGGCCUUAGGGUUGUAAAGCUCUUUCAGCUGGGAAGAUAAUGACGGUACCAGCAGAAGAAGCCCCGGCUAACUCCGUG